UUUGUUAAAUAAUGCAAAUUCUUGUGCUUGCUUCCGCAGCACAUAUACUAAAAUUGGAACAGUACAAAGAUGAUUUAGCAUGGCCCCUGCUCAAGGAUUACAUGCAAAUUCGUGAAGCACUCCAUAUUUG